GGAGGUGGGUGGGGCACACAGCUGCAUGCUAUUUCCAUUCUUUCAUUGAUUUAUUUGGGCACGUCAGCCUGCAUUCAUUUAACAAAUCUUCCUGUGGGGCUUACUGCUGUGUGCCGGAUACAAAGGCUAUUCAGACCCCAUCCUUGCCUUUAAACUGUUCACAGCACGAGGGAGGCAAAUCUACAGUUAGUCGUGUUGUUAAAGGACCAGUGCCUAGGACUCACGCCAGUGGAAAGGUGUUCAAAGAAGGGCGAUGAUGGUGCAGGUCCCACUGGGCAGGCCCGCUGAGUUUCCAGCUUCCAUGGGGCUCUCUUCCCUCUGUCUCUCUAGUCUUACAGAAUCCUGGGCCCUACGUUCCACACAUUCUGGGCCAUUCUCCAGGCAUCCCUGUGGUUUCCAGCACAUUUUUGAGAAGGACAUGGGGACCCAAGCCCCAAGAACAACAGUUCCUCGGUGUCUCUGGAAUGGCUCAUGGGGGUGGCUGAUAGCCUUUUUCUACUUAGCUGGGGCCGAAGCACUCCUCCCAAGGCAUAAACCCUUCCCCAGAUGUGGUGGGCGGGCUCGUCCACGGGAAAGGUUUAAGCAAAUAAACCUGCCACACAGUUUUCAAGUGUCCCAUCUGAGGAAAGCUGGAAAGAAGGCAACACACAUAAAUUAACUCAGCAUGCUUUGCAUAAAGGAGUGGGAAGCAAAUUCAACGGGCCACAGAAACAUGAAGGGGAGCCUCAAUUCCACCCAAAUGUAAUUUUUUCCAGGUUAACCACAAGUUUCUAUAUUUAAAAAUUCAAAGAUUCUGAGCUUCUUAGAUUUUUGAGUUUUUCUCAAGUGUAGUUCUUAUGUGUCUAGGCCUCCCCAGUCUAUGGACAUAGAUUGUGACUUCUGAAUAAUAAUUAUCCACAUUUUGCUGGCUGUUUCCCCAACUGCUUCUGCAGGGUCCAUAGCCCAUCCCAAAUGUCUUACCGCUGGGCAGGCUCUUCUGUCCCCCGACACCCCCUGUCAGAUGGGGCCUCUUUGGUGGCUCCAGUUCCCACCAGCCUCCGAGGACACUGCUUUCUCCCCUUCUCCCUUCAGACCCAGGGGUGGAAAAAGCUUCCUGUAGUUGCUGGCCCCUAGGUGCCUCCCUGUCCUUGGUUGAUGCCCUUAACCCUCUCUGUGUCUCUGUAAAAAGUCCUUUCAUUAAAUUCUUGUUCAGUUAA
rnacentral:lncRNA from 1 species